rnacentral:lncRNA from 1 species
UCGGAGGCUCAUGACGUUGGACACCGAUGUGAUGAAGGAUGGUGUGGACAUCGUCUUGAACCUAGAGGAUGGGGCGAGAGCCCACCUGCAGGCGGCAAGGUCGGUUGCUCCACUUGCAGGGAGAGGGCAUGAUACAUCCUAAACGUAUCCAUUUUUUCAAAUUUGCAUGGUUGGUUGCUCCACUUCCGAUGGUCUCUAAUUUGCAUGGUUUGAAUUAAAAUAAUCUGGACUUACGUUGUUUUCAGCAGAACUACCUUGGUUAUUUUUUAUGCAGAAAUAAAAGUUUUCGGAAUUGGACAAGAUUUUACGAAGAAUUAUUUUGGAAUAUAUAAACAAAUUGGUGCAAGGAACUACCGGUGGGGGUCCCACGAGCCUCUGAUUGACCUAAAUCCAACUCUACAUAUAUUGUCUUCCCAAGAAAAAAAUAUCAGGAAGAAAGUUUCAUCGCAGUUUACGAUACAGAGUCGUCGCCACCUUGUGUUUUUCACUAGGAGGCCAGAUUUGGAGGGCGUUCGGGGCUCUGUAGAGGGCAAAUCGUCGUCAUCGUCAUCAACAACCUUGUGAUGUUCACCACAAGGAGUGAGUAAUGUCAUUGUAGGCAUACUAGAGGUAGAUGGAGAUGGAUGAAAUUUGUCAUGCAAUCAAGUCAAUUUGUUAGGGCUUGAUCCAUAGUAUCCAGUGUGUUCUCAGAUUGAUGUUGCUAUGACUUUGUUAUGCUCAAUGCUUGUCACUAGGAUCUGAAUACCAUGGUUUCAGAUCUGGACCUGUUAUGUAUUCAUGAAUAUAUGUGACUUUUAGAUCCUAUCGUUCAAGUUGUAUGCACU